UGGGGAAUAUUGGACAAUGGGCGAAAGCCUGAUCCAGCGAUGCCGCGUGAGUGAUGAAGGCCCUAGGGUUGUAAAACUCUUUCGAUGGUGAAGAUAAUGACGGUAGCCAUUAAAGAAGCCCCGGCUAAUUUCGUGCCAGCAGCCGCGGUAAUACGAAAGGGGCAAGCGUUGUUCGGAAUUACUGGGCGUAAAGCGCGCGUAGGCGGCUUGUUAAGUUAGGGGUGAAAUCCCGGAGCUCAACUCCGGAACUGCCUCUAAAACUGGCAGGCUAGAGGAUGUGAGAGGAUAGUGGAAUUCCGAGUGUAGAGGUGAAAUUCGUAGAUAUUCGGAAGAACACCAGUGGCGAAGGCGACUGUCUGGCACAUUUCUGACGCUGAGGUGCGAAAGCGUGGGGAGCGAACAGGAUUAGAUACCCCCGUAGUCC
rnacentral:rRNA from 1 species